CGUCAACACAUCAAGCGUCAUCAAUAGCGUGGUCUAUGGUGCAAUGAUAUCGCGGGAGUAAGCCGUUUACCUUAAAUUCGGGUAGCGUCAUGAUUAGCCUACCCUGGUGGCGUCAUGAUCGGCGUGCCCCGUUGGCGGCAUAAUUAGCGUGCUUUAAUUUACCCGAUUUAUGCACAACCAUCACUUGAUGGAUUGAAGAUCAUCUGCAAACAGUCGAUGUCUCAAAAACGUCUUGCUGCACACUUCUACUGCAUACCAACCAACUGCUUGUGGUUGCUCACACUCUGACGUUUGCAAUUUGUUUAAAAAAUUUUCGAGUUUUUACGGGACAGAAUAAUAAACUUUGUUUUGGACUGGA